AUUGAACGCUGGCGGCAGGCUUAACACAUGCAAGUCGAGCGGGGGAGGUUGCUUCGGUAACUGACCUAGCGGCGGACGGGUGAGUAAUGCUUAGGAAUCUGCCUAUUAGUGGGGGACAACAUUCCGAAAGGAAUGCUAAUACCGCAUACGCCCUACGGGGGAAGGCAGGGGAUCUUCGGACCUUGCGCUAAUAGAUGAGCCUAAGUCGGAUUAGCUAGUUGGUGGGGUAAAGGCCUACCAAGGCGACGAUCUGUAGCGGGUCUGAGAGGAUGAUCCGCCACACUGGGACUGAGAAACGGCCCAGACUCCUACGGGAGGCAGCAGUGGGGAAUAUUGGACAAUGGGCGGAAGCCUGAUCCAGCCAUGCCGCGUGUGUGAAGAAGGCCUUUUGGUUGUAAAGCACUUUAAGCGAGGAGGAGGCUCUUAAGGUUAAUACCCUUGAUGAGUGGACGUUACUCGCAGAAUAAGCACCGGCUAACUCUGUGCCAGCCGCCGCAGUAACAC
rnacentral:rRNA from 1 species